AAUGCAUGCAAGUCGAGCGACGCAUAUUGGGGCUUGCCCCGAUAUGACGGAGCGGCGAACGGGUGAGUAACACGUGAGCAACCUGCCCCGAAGACCGGGAUAGCCCGAGGAAACUCGGAUUAAUACCGGACGCCUUCACACCACCACAUGGCGGAGUGAAGAAAUGCUUUUGCGCUUUGGGAUGGGCUCGCGGCCUAUCAGCUAGUUGGUGAGGUAACGACUUACCAAGGCAUCGACGGGUAGCUGGUCUGAGAGGACGAUCAGCCACACUGGAACUGAGACACGGUCCAGACUCCUACGGGAGGCAGCAGCAGGGAAUAUUGCACAAUGGGCGAAAGCCUGAUGCAGCAACGCCGCGUGAGGGAUGACGGCCUUCGGGUUGUAAACCUCUUUCAGGAGGGAAGAAAUUGACGGUACCUCCAAAAGAAGCCCCGGCUAACUACGUGCCAGCAGCCGCGGUAAUACGUAGGGGGCAAGCGUUGUCCGGAUUUAUUGGGCGUAAAGAGCUCGUAGGCGGCUUAGUAAGUCGGCUGUGAAAGUCCGAGGCUCAACCUCGGAAAUGCAGUCGAUACUGCUAUAGCUAGAGUCAGGUAGAGGAGAAUGGAAUUCCCGGUGUAGCGGUGGAAUGCGCAGAUAUCG
rnacentral:rRNA from 1 species